UACGGGGGGAGCAAGCGUUGUUCGGAAUUACUGGGCGUAAAGGGCGUGUAGGCGGCCUUGUAAGUCGGGGGUGAAAUCCACUGGCUCAACCAGUGACGUGCCUUCGAAACUGCUUGGCUUGAGUAUGGCAGAGGAGAGCGGAAUUCCAGGUGUAGCGGUGAAAUGCGUAGAUAUCGUAAGGAAGACCAGUGGCGAAGGCGAGUCUCUGGGCAGCAACUGACGCUGAGGCACGAAGGCCAGGGGAGCAAACGGG
rnacentral:rRNA from 1 species